rnacentral:rRNA from 1 species
ACUAAGCGUACACGGUGGAUGCCCUGGCAGUCAGAGGCGAUGAAGGACGUGCUAAUCUGCGAUAAGCGUCGGUAAGGUGAUAUGAACCGUUAUAACCGGCGAUUUCCGAAUGGGGAAACCCAGUGUGUUUCGACACACUAUCAUUAACUGAAUCCAUAGGUUAAUGAGGCGAACCGGGGGAACUGAAACAUCUAAGUACCCCGAGGAAAAGAAAUCAACCGAGAUUCCCCCAGUAGCGGCGAGCGAACGGGGAGCAGCCCAGAGUCUGAAUCAGUGUGUGUGUUAGUGGAAGCGUCUGGAAAGGCGCGCGAUACAGGGUGACAGCCCCGUACACAAAAAUGCACAUACUGUGAGCUCGAUGAGUAGGGCGGGACACGUGGUAUCCUGUCUGAAUAUGGGGGGACCAUCCUCCAAGGCUAAAUACUCCUGACUGACCGAUAGUGAACCAGUACCGUGAGGGAAAGGCGAAAAGAACCCCGGCGAGGGGAGUGAAAAAGAACCUGAAACCGUGUACGUACAAGCAGUGGGAGCACGCUUAGGCGUGUGACUGCGUACCUUUUGUAUAAUGGGUCAGCGACUUAUAUUCUGUAGCAAGGUUAACCGAAUAGGGGAGCCGAAGGGAAACCGAGUCUUAACUGGGCGUUAAGUUGCAGGGUAUAGACCCGAAACCCGGUGAUCUAGCCAUGGGCAGGUUGAAGGUUGGGUAACACUAACUGGAGGACCGAACCGACUAAUGUUGAAAAAUUAGCGGAUGACUUGUGGCUGGGGGUGAAAGGCCAAUCAAACCGGGAGAUAGCUGGUUCUCCCCGAAAGCUAUUUAGGUAGCGCCUCGUGAAUUCAUCUCCGGGGGUAGAGCACUGUUUCGGCAAGGGGGUCAUCCCGACUUACCAACCCGAUGCAAACUGCGAAUACCGGAGAAUGUUAUCACGGGAGACACACGGCGGGUGCUAACGUCCGUCGUGAAGAGGGAAACAACCCAGACCGCCAGCUAAGGUCCCAAAGUCAUGGUUAAGUGGGAAACGAUGUGGGAAGGCCCAGACAGCCAGGAUGUUGGCUUAGAAGCAGCCAUCAUUUAAAGAAAGCGUAAUAGCUCACUGGUCGAGUCGGCCUGCGCGGAAGAUGUAACGGGGCUAAACCAUGCACCGAAGCUGCGGCAGCGACGCUUAUGCGUUGUUGGGUAGGGGAGCGUUCUGUAAGCCUGUGAAGGUGUGCUGUGAGGCAUGCUGGAGGUAUCAGAAGUGCGAAUGCUGACAUAAGUAACGAUAAAGCGGGUGAAAAGCCCGCUCGCCGGAAGACCAAGGGUUCCUGUCCAACGUUAAUCGGGGCAGGGUGAGUCGACCCCUAAGGCGAGGCCGAAAGGCGUAGUCGAUGGGAAACAGGUUAAUAUUCCUGUACUUGGUGUUACUGCGAAGGGGGGACGGAGAAGGCUAUGUUGGCCGGGCGACGGUUGUCCCGGUUUAAGCGUGUAGGCUGGUUUUCCAGGCAAAUCCGGAAAAUCAAGGCUGAGGCGUGAUGACGAGGCACUACGGUGCUGAAGCAACAAAUGCCCUGCUUCCAGGAAAAGCCUCUAAGCAUCAGGUAACAUCAAAUCGUACCCCAAACCGACACAGGUGGUCAGGUAGAGAAUACCAAGGCGCUUGAGAGAACUCGGGUGAAGGAACUAGGCAAAAUGGUGCCGUAACUUCGGGAGAAGGCACGCUGAUAUGUAGGUGAAGCGACUUGCUCGUGGAGCUGAAAUCAGUCGAAGAUACCAGCUGGCUGCAACUGUUUAUUAAAAACACAGCACUGUGCAAACACGAAAGUGGACGUAUACGGUGUGACGCCUGCCCGGUGCCGGAAGGUUAAUUGAUGGGGUCAGCGCAAGCGAAGCUCUUGAUCGAAGCCCCGGUAAACGGCGGCCGUAACUAUAACGGUCCUAAGGUAGCGAAAUUCCUUGUCGGGUAAGUUCCGACCUGCACGAAUGGCGUAAUGAUGGCCAGGCUGUCUCCACCCGAGACUCAGUGAAAUUGAACUCGCUGUGAAGAUGCAGUGUACCCGCGGCAAGACGGAAAGACCCCGUGAACCUUUACUAUAGCUUGACACUGAACAUUGAGCCUUGAUGUGUAGGAUAGGUGGGAGGCUUUGAAGUGUGGACGCCAGUCUGCAUGGAGCCGGCCUUGAAAUACCACCCUUUAAUGUUUGAUGUUCUAACGUGGACCCGUAAUCCGGGUUGCGGACAGUGUCUGGUGGGUAGUUUGACUGGGGCGGUCUCCUCCUAAAGAGUAACGGAGGAGCACGAAGGUUGGCUAAUCCUGGUCGGACAUCAGGAGGUUAGUGCAAUGGCAUAAGCCAGCUUGACUGCGAGCGUGACGGCGCGAGCAGGUGCGAAAGCAGGUCAUAGUGAUCCGGUGGUUCUGAAUGGAAGGGCCAUCGCUCAACGGAUAAAAGGUACUCCGGGGAUAACAGGCUGAUACCGCCCAAGAGUUCAUAUCGACGGCGGUGUUUGGCACCUCGAUGUCGGCUCAUCACAUCCUGGGGCUGAAGUAGGUCCCAAGGGUAUGGCUGUUCGCCAUUUAAAGUGGUACGCGAGCUGGGUUUAGAACGUCGUGAGACAGUUCGGUCCCUAUCUGCCGUGGGCGCUGGAGAACUGAGGGGGGCUGCUCCUAGUACGAGAGGACCGGAGUGGACGCAUCACUGGUGUUCGGGUUGUCAUGCCAAUGGCACUGCCCGGUAGCUAAAUGCGGAAGAGAUAAGUGCUGAAAGCAUCUAAGCACGAAACUUGCCCCGAGAUGAGUUCUCCCUGACUCCUUGAGAGUCCUGAAGGAACGUUGAAGACGACGACGUUGAUAGGCCGGGUGUGUAAGCGCAGCGAUGCGUUGAGCUAACCGGUACUAAUGAACCGUGAGGCUUAACCUUACAACGCCGAAG